rnacentral:rRNA from 1 species
CCUUAGAGUUUGAUCCUGGCUCAGGACGAACGCUGGCGGCGUGCUUAACACAUGCAAGUCGAACGGGGUGUUUAUUUCGGUAAACAUCAAGUGGCGAACGGGUGAGUAACGCGUAAGCAAUCUACCUUCAAGAUGGGGACAACACUUCGAAAGGGGUGCUAAUACCGAAUGAAUGUAAGAGUAUCGCAUGAGACACUUACUAAAGGAGGCCUCUGAAAAUGCUUCCGCUUGAAGAUGAGCUUGCGUCUGAUUAGCUAGUUGGUGAGGGUAAAGGCCCACCAAGGCGACGAUCAGUAGCCGGUCUGAGAGGAUGAACGGCCACAUUGGGACUGAGACACGGCCCAGACUCCUACGGGAGGCAGCAGUGGGGAAUCUUCCGCAAUGGGCGAAAGCCUGACGGAGCAACGCCGCGUGAACGAUGAAGGUCUUAGGAUCGUAAAGUUCUGUUGUUAGGGACGAAGGGCAAGGGUUAUAAUACAGCCUUUGUUUGACGGUACCUAACGAGGAAGCCACGGCUAACUACGUGCCAGCAGCCGCGGUAAUACGUAGGCGGCAAGCGUUGUCCGGAAUUAUUGGGCGUAAAGGGAGCGCAGGCGGGAAACUAAGCGGAUCUUAAAAGUGCGGGGCUCAACCCCGUGAUGGGGUCCGAACUGGUUUUCUUGAGUGCAGGAGAGGAAAGCGGAAUUCCCAGUGUAGCGGUGAAAUGCGUAGAUAUUGGGAAGAACACCAGUGGCGAAGGCGGCUUUCUGGACUGUAACUGACGCUGAGGCUCGAAAGCUAGGGUAGCGAACGGGAUUAGAUACCCCGGUAGUCCUAGCCGUAAACGAUGGAUACUAGGUGUGGGAGGUAUCGACCCCUUCCGUGCCGGAGUUAACGCAAUAAGUAUCCCGCCUGGGGAGUACGGCCGCAAGGUUGAAACU